GACGAACGCUGGCGGCGUGCUUAACACAUGCAAGUCGAACGGAAAGGCCCUGCUUGCAGGGUACUCGAGUGGCGAACGGGUGAGUAACACGUGGGUGAUCUGCCCUGCACUUCGGGAUAAGCCUGGGCAACUGGGUCUAAUACCGGACAGGAGCCAUUUUUAGUGUGAUGGUUGGAAAGUUUUUUCGGUGUAGGAUGAGCUCGCGGCCUAUCAGCUUGUUGGUGGGGUAAUGGCCUACCAAGGCGGCGACGGGUAGCCGGCCUGAGAGGGUGGACGGCCACCUUGGGACUGAGAUACGGCCCAGACUCCUACGGGAGGGAGCAGUGGGGAAGAUUGAACAAUGGGCGCAAGCCUGAUGCAGCGACGCCGCGUGGGGGAUGACGGCCUUCGGGUUGUAAACUCCAUUCGCUAGGGACGAAGCUUUUUGUGACGGUACCUAGAUAAGAAGCACCGGCUAACUACGUG
rnacentral:rRNA from 1 species